rnacentral:tRNA from 1 species
UGCCGAGUGGACGACUUGGAAAGUCGCUGUGACUCUGAAUCACAGAGAUGUUGGUACCCUUCGGGAAGCCACUUCGUGUCUACGACCCCAACCUCGGCAACCA